AGGGGAUAAAGAGAACUUGUGGCAUUGAUGAGAUGGGGAAAGUUAAACGCCUUAAGGGUGGGAAUUAGAGAUUCCGUGUGGCGUCUCAUAGCUUGCAAGGGAUUGCUUUUAAAGUGUUUCUUUCCAGUUUAUUAUUGACUCAUAAUUUCUUUCGGCUUUUUUAAAGUUUUUAUCUACUUUGAACGCUUAUUCUGCUUCUUAAGGAUUACUCUGUUUCUUUAAUUGUUUUGAAAUCUAGACUUAUAAGAAACAGGUCAAUCAUUUUUGUGUGUCAACAUGUUAUCAUUUUCAUAUGUGGACGUGA
rnacentral:lncRNA from 1 species